CCUGGCUCAGGACGAACGCUGGCGGCGUGCCUAAUGCAUGCAAGUCGAACGCAGCAGGCGUGCCUGGCUGCGUGGCGAACGGCUGAGGAACACGUGGGUGACCUGCCCCGGAGUGGGGGAUACCCCGUCGAAAGACGGGACAAUCCCGCAUACGCUCGACGGAGGAAAGCCGCAAGGCGCUCUGGGAGGGGCCUGCGGCCCAUCAGGUAGUUGGUGUGGUAACGGCGCACCAAGCCAAUGACGGGUACCCGGUCUGAGAGGACGACCGGGCAGACUGGGACUGAGACACGGCCCAGACUCCUACGGGAGGCAGCAGCAAGGAAUUUUCCCCAAUGGGCGCAAGCCUGAGGGAGCAACGCCGCGUGGAGGACGACGGCCUUCGGGUUGUAAACUCCUUUCGGGUGGGACGAUGCUGACGGUACCACCAGAAGCAGCCCCGGCUAACUCUGUGCCAGCAGCCGCGGUAAGACAGAGGGGGCAAGCGUUGUCCGGAGUUACUGGGCGUAAAGGGCGCGCAGGCGGUGGGCUGCGUCGGCGCUGAAAGCGCCCCGCUUAACGGGGCGAGGCGCGCCGAUACGAGUCCACUCGAGGCAAGCAGAGGGUGGCGGAAUUCCGGGUGGAGCGGUGAAAUGCGUAGAGAUCCGGAGGAACGCCGGUGGGGAAGCCGGCCACCUGGGCUUGACCUGACGCUGCGGCGCGACAGCGUGGGGAGCAAACCGGAUUAGAUACCCGGGUAGUCCACGCCGUAAACGAUGCCGGCUCGGCGUCUGGCGCACGUUGGUGUGCUGGGUGCCUUAGCUCACGCGGUAAGCCGGCCGCCUGGGGACUACGAGCGCAAGCUUAAAACUCAAAGGAAUUGACGGGGGCCC
rnacentral:rRNA from 1 species